UUGUAUUUAAUGCGGCAGUUGUGGUCUCUCCCUGGACAUCCUAUACUUUUGUUCUUCUCCCUGCUUUGUGAGGCUUAUCCUUAUAGAGAAUAAGUUUGGUUCGGAGCUGGCGUAAAAGGUGUCUUUUACGCCAGCCAAUUAGCCAAUCCUGAAGCGACACAUCAGCCAAAACAUUUAAACUCAAUACACCUUAUUACAUGCCAUUAUAACCCAAUUAAAACCCCAAAUGUUCCUCAAACACGUUCAAAGCUUCUUCUUCAAACGGCAAACCAAGGGCAGACUCUCCUCCUCCUCCCCACAACGGAUCACCAGAGUUAUUUUUAGAGCUUGAAAAAGAUGCCGAAUCCGCCGUUAGUCUAGUGUCACAAUCUCAAGUUGUGAUGCAGAAUUGCAGAUAGAUGGUUUUGAAUACUUAAAAGAAAACUUCCCUACUGGCUUGACUGAAUUCUUGGAGUAUAUGGCUAGAGUUGGUG